GAUGAACGCUGGCGGCGUGCCUAAUACAUGCAAGUCGAGCGAACAGACGAGGAGCUUGCUCCUCUUACGUUAGCGGCGGACGGGUGAGUAACACGUGGAUAACCUACCUAUAAGACUGGGAUAACUUCGGGAAACCGGAGCUAAUACCGGAUAAUAUAUUUAACCGCAUGGUUCAAUAGUGAAAGACGGUUUUGCUGUCACUUAUAGAUGGAUCCGCGCCGCAUUAGCUAGUUGGUAAGGUAACGGCUUACCAAGGCAACGAUGCGUAGCCGACCUGAGAGGGUGAUCGGCCACACUGGAACUGAGACACGGUCCAGACUCCUACGGGAGGCAGCAGUAGGGAAUCUUCCGCAAUGGGCGAAAGCCUGACGGAGAAACGCCGCGUGAGUGAUGAAGGUCUUCGGAUCGUAAAACUCUGUUAUUAGGGAAGAACAAAUGUGUAAGUAACUAUGCACGUCUUGACGGUACCUAAUCAGAAAGCCACGGCUAACUACGUG
rnacentral:rRNA from 1 species